rnacentral:tRNA from 1 species
GGGCGCGUAGCUCAGCUGGUUAGAGCGCCUGCUUCACACGCAGGAAGUCACAGGUUCGAGUCCUGUCGCGCCCACCA